CACGUUUUACUCGGGAGUUGUUGGAUGGAAAAUUUAUCGUAUCCCGGUGGGAAGUACCGACAGCUCUCUCGGAUUUCUAAAUGCACCGGUGAUAAUUUUCAUCUUUGAUAUGUCCAUUAGAAUUUCCAUUCUCCCACGAUGUUGGGAAUAGAGUUGUUUGAAUAUUUUUAUUAAGAAUAGUCUCCAGUACUGUUAGAUAUCGUAGUGUUUAUGGGAUGUCUGCGAGGGCCUGGAGAGGUCCCAAUGCUUGCAGGUUCAUUGUCCCUGCAUUUAUUUUUCGAAAAAUUUACGCUACAUGUUGAACAAUUUUCAUUACUUUCUCCCUUCUGAUACUCUCCUUUUGUUUUUACAAAUUUCCACCAUUUUAAGACGCGAUAAAUUCAAUGAGGUAACAGAAAAACUAUUUUACUCAUCAGAAAAACUGUAAUUUAAUCUUCAUUGAGUCGGAGAUCUCGAGAAUCGAAUUACCGGUUUUUUUUUCUUGUUCUGUUCCGAGCGCUCACUCGCGAUCGCUCACGUAUAUUUACGCUCCUUUCCGCUUGAUGUUUAUUUUCAUGUUGUUUUAUAUCAUCGAGGACAGUCCUAUCUUCGUUUUGGUAUCCCUCCCCUCGUCCCUGCACCCCCCCAAAGUUCCCACUGGAUUUCAAAGUGGCGAAUCGGCUUCUUGUCUUUUUCAAACGGUUUCCCUCUUUACCCCAACGUUAAACCGGUUUUUCGCACAGCUUUACUCGGUCCGUUUCUCAAUAUUCUUGGUUUCAAUAAUUUUUUUUAAAGUCUUUUGGCUGAGGUUAAUGAAAACUUCGGCAACAUCUCAACUGAGGAUACCAGAAAAUUUUUGGAACAAACAUUCAUUGUAUAAAAAAAAAUUGCAAUCACAAUAGAAAUUUAAAUUGGGAAGAGAAAAAGUAAAUGAUCUUCAUCCGAUCGAUGUUGAAAACCAUUUCUGGUGGUGAAAAAUGACGAAAAAAUUUACGGGCCGCAGAAAGCGUGGCCGGAUGCGACUGUUCGCUCCGCUGAUCGCUGAUUUGAAUGGAUACAGAGCUCGAUACCUCGCAUCCUUCAGUGAAUCUCCCGAGGAAUUCUUAUCGUUCAUCGAAUGAUGUGCUGAGGUUUGUAUCGCGUGUUCAUGGGCAAUGUACUAGGUCGGAUAAUUAUUAAAAUACAAAUAUUGUUGGAUUAAUUCACUCGUGGUGAUUGUUUGCGUAUAUUCGGUAGCGGAUGCCCAUUGAUAGCAUUGAUCCGGUAACAGUUGAGGCUGUGUAUUUACGUUCAGCCACUGCCAUUUGCAUUGCAACCAAAAUUCCGAUGAAUUCUCUUGCGUUUAUUUGUUAAAUAGUCCCGGUAAAUGUUGAAUUUAGGGGUGCGGUGCGGUUCACCACAGCCUAAUCGACCCCAAGUAUCACUACAUUACGUUAAAGGAUAUGGAAAUAUGCGAAAUAAUUUGAGAAAAAUCACGGAACUAGGGAGUGAAAUUUUCUAUAAAAGUUCCCGGGAAAUUCAGGAAAGUUUUCAACUGAACGAGUUAAAAAAAAAAUCAAGUUUAAUCCAAUAAAACUUCCAGUACUAUCACUGGAAUUUUUCCAUGAAAAUUGCCCCCGUAUUUUCCGCAAAAUAUCACAAAAUUUCUCGCAGUAAAGUCCCUCACGUCUCUAGGCCCCAGAUUUUUUUUUCUUCCUCUUCAGUUCGUACCUCAUCACCGCAGAAGACACUCUCGGGGUGUCAGGGUGUUGUCGUGUGGGAUGAGAGUACACCGGGUGGUGAUUACCUCUACAGUGGCAUUGCGGUGGAUUACAGUUGGGAAAAAGAGAGGGCAACCGGGACGAUUCUCUCCCCGAUUGUCGAAAGGGUGGUGGAAGGGGGCAGAAUUGUAUUGACAGAAUAGGCGGAGCCAUUGUCCCCCGGAGUGAUAGAGGUAGGGGUAAAAGGGGCUGGUCAGUUGACGUUUGUAACACCGCCUUUCCCCACUUUUUCCAAGCAAACCUGUGCCACCGUAUGGGGGCGCUCAUCCCUGCGCGCGCUACCUCACGGUGAUAUCCUCGGGCUCGUUCCCUCACUCCACUUCGCGGCCCGAGCGGCGCAACAACGCCUGUCGUGUCUCUCUGGCUCGGCGCACCCAUACACACACACAUAUACUGUUGUCUGUCUCUGUCUUGCACGGAAAUAAGGGAUUUUUACCUGUCUUCGGGGGUAUUUUGUCAAUGGUAAAAGGCACAUGCGCGGUGUCCGUGUAUUUUUGCAACAGGAAAUAUAUAUAUUUUUUUUCUAAUUUUUUAAACCUUCCGAGUGUCACUUAUAUUGUGAUAUUAUUUCGUGCGUUAAUCAUAACUCUGACGUUGGACGUCAUCUGUGAGAAUAAUACCGGGUGUGAUGUUGUUGAUGGUGUUACCAUGAAUUUGGAAAUUGUGAUUUUUCACUUGUGUCGUGCCGUCGGAUGGUGACUGGUGUUUAAUUAAUUUAUUAUUAUUAUUAUUUAACCAUUGAGUGACUAUUUCUGUGCGCGCAAGUACUCCAGGUAGUCUUCCAAGGAAUGAGUCUCAAGUGGUCUCGAGAACUCUGAUGAAACUCGGAGUAUGACGCCGAAGGACUUGUGGGAAAUUGAGUCUCGUUGAGACGAUUUGGUGGAUGGUUUGACGCUGCUGACGGAAAAAUUACUGACACGUGAAUUGUGGGUGAUUAUUUUACAAGUGUGAAAAAGAAAAUUGAUAAGGUGAAGGAGACAAGUCAUACGCCAUCUCUGCGUUACUGACAACCAGGUCCCCCGGUUCUCCCUUGACCGGAUCGACGUCUCGCAAUCUUAGCGGGAACCACCCCGCGACAGCAGCCACCCUGAUGGGAGUGUAUGAGGAGCGCGCCCCUCCUACCACCGGCAUGCACUGGCAGCCGCCCGGCUCGCAGGAGCGUGGAAGCGGCUUGGCUUUGGGCUGUCAAGGUGGUGGGCCAGGGAGCGCAGGGGGUCCUGGAGUUGAUCAAACGAGAGACCUGAGUCCAUGUCUCCCGGCGUCGAUGGGUGAUGCCGCAAGACCCACAACUCUACCCUGUAGCCCACCUGCUGCCCACCAUCACGGUGUUCAUCGUACACCACUGCAUCAAACACACUGUGGUACUAAUAAUAAUUGUUACGACGGCUCAACAACCCCCUACGACUCGAGGGAUUACGGCUCGCCGGAUUGGUGUCAUAAAACAGGUGGUGAUUAUCGUAACAGCUACGAAAAUCCUAGUGAUUUGACAAUGCCACCUCAGACGAAUCAACAGUGUCAUCACAAUCAGCAAUUGCACAAUCAUCAGUCCCAGGUGCAGGUGCAGCACCAGACAAAUCAGCAGGAUCAUCGUAACAAUGAUGAUAUACAUGCUAUACCAAAAUUAGAACCACCACCAACACCACCAUCACAAGCUGAGGACGUACCAGGGGUGGUGUGCGCUGGAUGCGGUCUCAGAAUAUCCGACAGGUUUUAUCUGCAGGCGGUAGACAGAAGGUGGCAUGCCGCUUGCCUGCAGUGCUCCCACUGUCGUCAGGGCCUCGAUGGCGAGGUCACCUGCUUCAGCAGGGACGGCAACAUCUACUGCAAAAAGGAUUACUACAAAAUGUUCGGCAGCAUGAAACGAUGUGCAAGAUGUCAAGCGGCAAUUUUAGCAUCGGAAUUGGUGAUGCGAGCGAGAGAACUGGUGUUUCACGUUCGAUGUUUUUCCUGUGCAGCAUGUACUGUACCAUUGACAAAGGGCGAUCACUUUGGUAUGAGAGAUGGUGCUGUACUUUGUCGUCUUCAUUAUGAAAUGGGAGCUGAAUUGCAUCCAUCCCAGAGUCCACCAGUACCAGUUUAUCCACCAGGUCCCCAUUAUCCUGGCCAGUCAUUUCCAUCACCUGAAUUUUUGCAUCAUCAGCCACAUCAUAUACCAUCACAUCCCCAUCACUCGAUGCAUCCGCAACAUCCACAUCAGUUGACGCAUGCUAGUCCAGUACCUUUGCAACCAUCAACACCUUCUGGGCCCGAUGCUGGCUCACCACCGAAGGUACCAUAUUUCAAUGGUGCCGCUUCCACGGUGGGGGCUAAUGCUGGAGUACCUCCACCCAGACAAAAAGGGAGACCCAGAAAAAGGAAGCCGAAGGAUCUAGAGGCAAUGACAGCUAGUCUUGACCUCAACUCGGAUUACAUUGAUAUGCCAUUUGGUAGAGGUCCUGGUACACCGGGUAUGCCUGGCUCAAAUAGCCGAACGAAACGCAUGAGAACGAGCUUCAAGCAUCAUCAGUUGAGGACGAUGAAGAGUUACUUCGCCAUCAAUCACAAUCCCGACGCGAAGGAUCUCAAGCAGCUUUCCCAGAAGACCGGAUUGCCAAAGAGGGUACUACAGGUAUGGUUUCAAAACGCACGCGCAAAAUGGCGACGCAUGGUACUCAAGCAGGAGGGAAAAUCCGACAAAUGUGGUGGUGUUGAUGGCGGCUCAUUGAAUGAUCUUGAACUGUAUGGUAAUAGUGCAGGAAGUGGUGGGCCACCGAUGAGUCCACAAUUUAUGAUGGGACCACAUAGUCCAGCAUCUCUCGGUUCGCUCGAUUGUGCGUGAUUUCGUACCUGUUUAACAAAACUUUCCCUGUGAAUGAUUUUUGGAAAAACUGGUAAGAGAUUAUUGUGGGAUUGUUUGUCCCGUUACAACGGCUGUCUAAUAAUUAUUCCCCACGAACAGAGGAAUACGAUGAUGUGAAUAUUUAUUUAGAGUUCUGGGGAAUUGUCUGUAAAAUAUAACAUACGCAUUACUGCCCAUGACUAGAUUAGUGCGUGUAGUCGUAUGUGAAUUGUAUAUUAAGAUAUAGCUGAUAUAUGAAAAAAGAUAUAUAUGUGGAGAAAGAAAUUUAUUACAAUGAAAUGGCGAGUUUUUCGUCGUCUGUACUAUAGAUAGAUUCAACAGCGAGGAUUAUAUGUAUUUAUUUGUAGAAAUCGGAGUAAUUGUGACAAGAACGAUGUUCUUUAUUUAAAUCGACGGAUGAAAAACACUCUUUCUAUGUGUAAAAUCACAAAAAUCGAGAAGAACUGUACAAGGAUGGAAUGAUCCUUUCAUUAAACCUCGUUAAUGUGAGAGAAAAAAAAAUGAUAUAUGAGAAUGGACAUAUUUAUUGGUAAGAAUUAUUCAGCCAGUGAAAUUUAAUUAUUAGCUACAUUGUGAGUCAGUGUAAUUCAUUUUCUGUAAAUACUGUUCAAAUAGGUGAAUUAUAUUACGUUCCUUCACUACACAACUACACAGAGACACAGCAGAAUUUUAAUAAGGUCGUAGGGGAUGUAUUGCAGUAGGUUGCGGUCGUUUAGCUGGAGCUUGGAUUCAGUCGAUUCGAGCCGCCUAAAAAAGAAUAAACUAUGCGAGAGAGAAAAAUGAAACCAAGAAGUCAUGGAUCAAGCGCCGAUGGGUGCCUAGCUCUUUCGCAGUCGUCCAAAGGGACAAGAAGGUGAAACUAACGUGGAUUCGAGUUGGCCAAGUAUGGGAUGAUAUCACGAUGGGGAGCAAGUAGAAAGUCACUGUACCUAUUUUCUUGGAUUAACUGUUACAUAUACGUCCGGUAUACAGUGGUAGCGUAACAGAUUGCAGAGGUGGACUUUAAGCUGCAACAUUACAAAGGAGAAUGGGUUUAAAACCCGCCUCAUAACUCAACGACAUUGACUACCAAGAUGUCGUGGAUGAUGGCCACAUAUCUCGGUAGCUUCUCUUCGAUCUCCAA